rnacentral:rRNA from 1 species
GUAGGUGGCAAGCGUUGUCCGGAAUUAUUGGGCGUAAAGCGCGCGCAGGUGGUUCUUUAAGUCUGAUGUGAAAGCCCCCGGGCUCAACCGGGGAGGGUCAUUGGAAACUGGGGAACUUGAGUGCAGGAGAGGAAAGUGGAAUUCCACGUGUAGCGGUGAAAUGCGUAGAUAUGUGGAGGAACACCAGUGGCGAAGGCGACUUUCUGGCCUAUAACUAACACUGAGGCGCGAAAGCGUGGGGAGCAAACAGGAUUAGAUACCCUGGUAGUCCACGCCGUAAACGAUGAGUGCUAAGUGUUGGGGGGUUUCCGCCCCUCAGUGCUGCAGCUAACGCAUUAAGCACUCCGCCUGGGGAGUACGGUCGCAAAGACUGA